rnacentral:rRNA from 1 species
GACGAACGCUGGCGGCGCGCUUAACACAUGCAAGUCGAGCGAAGCGGCGGACGGGUGAGCAACACGUGAGUAACCUGCCUUAGACAUUGGGAUAGCCUCGGGAAACCGAGAAUAAUACCAAAUGGUCUAAGAUGGACUCGAGUCCCAUUAGCUAGUUGGUGAGGUAACGGCCCACCAAGGCGACGAUGGGUAGCCGGCCUGAGAGAGUGAGCGGCCACAUUGGAACUGAGAAACGGUCCAAACUCUACGCAAGGCAGCAGUGGGGAAUAUUGCACAAUGGAGGGAACUCUGAUGGACCGACGCCGCGUGAACGAAGAAGGCUUUCGAGUCGUACAGUUCUUUUAUAUGGAAAGCGGUACCAUAAGAAAAAGCCCCGGCUAACUACGUGCCAGCAGCCGCGGUAAUUC